UGGGGGAUAUUGCACAAUGGGGGGAACCCUGAUGCAGCAACGCCGCGUGAGUGAAGAAGGUUUUCGGAUUGUAAAGCUCUGUUAACAGGGAAGAGGAAGGACAGUACCUGAAGAGGAAGCCACGGCUAACUACGUGCCAGCAGCCGCGGUAAUACGUAGGUGGCAAGCGUUGUUCGGAAUAACUGGGCGUAAAGGAUGCGUAGGCGGUUGGAUAAGUUAUGUGUCAAAUAUAUAGGCUUAACCUGUAGAAGGCAUAUAAAACUGUUUAACUAGAGUGCAGGAGAGGUAAGUGGAAUUCCUAGUGUAGCGGUGAAAUGCGUAGAGAUUAGGAAGAACACCAGUGGCGAAGGCGACUUACUGGACUGUAACUGACGCUGAGGCAUGAGAGCAUGGGGAGCAAACAG
rnacentral:rRNA from 1 species